rnacentral:rRNA from 1 species
CAGCAGCCACUGUAAUACGAAGGGUGCAAGCGUUACUCGGAAUUACUGGGCGUAAAGCGUGCGUAGGUGGUGGUUUAAGUCCGUUGUGAAAGCCCUGGGCUCAACCUGGGAAUUGCAGUGGAUACUGGGUCACUAGAGUGUGGUAGAGGAUAGUGGAAUUUCCGGUGUAGCAGUGAAAUGCGUAGAGAUCGGAAGGAACAUCUGUGGCGAAGGCGACUAUCUGGGCCAACACUGACACUGAGGCACGAAAGCGUGGGGAGCAAACAGGAUUAGAUACCCCAGUAGUCCCUGUCUCUUAUAC